GACCGCGUAGCUCAGUUGGAAGAGCAUUGGGCUAGUAUUCCAAAGGUCGUAGGUUCGAAUACCGCCGUGGCCA